GAAUCUUAUUACAACAGAAAAUGCCAUAUCAUAAAAAUUGUUCUGGACCAGAAGAUCAACUAACUCUGAAGGGGCCUCAUGAAUCCCUGACAAACGAGAGUCAGUGAAUGGCCAUUUGAUAUUUGCUAAUGAAAGCAGAUACUCUGAUGAAGUUAGCAGAAAUUCAUUUUCUAGUUGCUUCAUAUCGAUAUAAGAAUGCUGCUUCUGAGGCUUGGC
rnacentral:misc_RNA from 1 species